GAGCGGCGGCGGGGGUGGGGAAAGCGCAUUUGUAACGCGGGCGACAACGUGCCCGAAAUCCCCGGACGGUGGGUCUGCAUCGAGACCCCGAGCUCUGGAGCUGGAAAAACCCGGGUAAGUUCCAUCUCUGUCAACUGGAAGCCGAGGCGAAUGUAGGGACGUGGAUGAGAGUCAGGUUUCUCAUCUGAAAGUGAGGGUAUUAAUAAUGACUGCUUCAUGGC
rnacentral:lncRNA from 1 species